rnacentral:sRNA from 2 species
UUUGCCAGCUGCAAGUCCGAUACUUGAUAGAAUUACCAUCCUCCGAGUCCAACUGCUUGGGGGCAACGUCUCUUGACGCAGACGAGCUAGAGGUAGCCGUCUCAUCAGGUCUAUUCCUUCUCCGCGACCGCUUCGUGUUGAUUAUCUGAGCGCGAUCGUUAUUGCCACCAUCGACAUCGCCGUUGAAACCCGUUAGGUUAUCAUCUUUGAGCAAGGGCGUGGUUACUCCUGAUUCUAGAUCUGACGCCGUUGCGACGAGAAUAUAGCCCCCUCGAGGCGGAAAGCCGAGGGGAGAUAGAAAAAUAGUUUGAUUAUACGGAUGGCUAGCAUGAGAAAAUUAGUGUAGAGUGGUGCCCGCAAGGGUUUCGGGUUUGAUUCUAGAUAAGAGCGCAAAGGAAGACAAGAGGAUAAUAGAAGGAUGAUAGUAGUCAGAAAUAUCGAACUCGUCGCCAACGUGGUUGACGCAACCUGCACAGUGUAGGAGCAAGGAAGAAAGGAGUCAAUAAGCUAAAAAGGAGAGGUUUGGUGCAGCUGACUGAGCCCGCGGCCAGUUGGAUGCCGUGAAGCCUGUUAACAAGUGAUCAAAUCCGCCCGCCAUCAGUUAGAUUUUAUCCCACUAACAACCCUGAAUCCUACACAAGGUUUCCAGCCAUCCGUGUGGAGGAUCGGAUCUUGGCCAUUUCCAACUAACACAAUAGUUACUAUUAUUUCCAACGAACGAUGCCUGAGAGAGAAAGGCUUGACUGC